UUGAUAGUAGCAUCCGCUUUAAUCUGCCACGUCCCGAAAUUUCUGUUUAAGUUUAAAACCGAUGCGGAAGUGUCCAAAAAUUUAUUUAUUUAUUUUUUUUGAAAGUCUUGACCGCAGAGGACGUCAAAUUCGUCACAAAUACAGUGAAUCUACUGUUUACACGGACAGAAUCUUUUCUGUAUUUGCACGACGUUGUACAAGUACAAGAUACAACCACACAGUAUAAUAACCCACAUACAAUCACCACAUCAUAUAUACCAUUCACAUUUAUUCCAUCAUCAGUUUAUCAUAAAUUCACAUUUAUUAGUUUAAAACGUUUUCAAUUCGGAAACAUAUAUUGAAAUACUAAAAAUUAUGAAAACGAUUUUCUACCUUUCGUGGUAACGUAUUUUUUUUUAAAAAAAAUUUCUUGUGGAAAACGGU
rnacentral:lncRNA from 1 species